rnacentral:lncRNA from 1 species
AAGGACUCGUGUUUGAGGAGGUGAUGGGCCUGAAAAAGGCAGGUUAAUGAACCAGCUUUGAGCCCAACUGGGCGAAGGGAGAUGGGGUCUCUGUGCUCAUAAUAAGGACAAGAAUGUCUCUUUGCCCAUCACAGCUUGUGUGACCUGAACAGUUUUUCCCUCCAGGUUCCUCUCACAGAGCAAGUUCACGUCUUGUAAGGGGUCUAAGGUUUGAAGCAUCCACCAGGUUUUCAACAUAUACUCUAGAGAGGCGUUACCUAAGCUAAAAAAAAAAAAAUCUUUUUAAUAACUUUGUUUUUAAUCUCUUCCUUCCAUUCACAAAGAAAAGGCUCACAGUAUUAGCAGGUUAAUGACAGCUGCUUUGCUGGUUCAGAAGAACAGGCCAGGGACCCCAUUUAAAGUUCAAUCACCUGCUUCAUAAUCGGGGCCUCUCUCUACUGUCACCUCCCUCACCUUCUUCUCUUCAGGAAACUCCUUGAAGGGGAUGAGGCUCUGCACAGACUGGGGACUAAAGGGAGAUUCUUUGCAGAAAGAGGAGUCCCUCCUCCUGAGCCCCUGCCAGACGCCUGCAGCUGCUUCAGGCUGAGCUGUGGUCAGAGCCCUCAGACACACUGCAGGCCUUAAGGAGGUUCUGCUCAUUAGCACCAAACCAUUGCUGGUUGUCGUAAAAAGAAAAAAAAUAAUAAUAAGGUUAAGAUCUCCGACAGCAAUAAGGGCCCACAUUUAAAUCUCUAGUAACAGUUUCAAAGAACAUACUGGGCAUUACUAGUAUUUACUUAGCAGUAUUAGAUGAAAGAACAUAGUUUAAUAAAUAUUUCUCUGUUAGUGCCAAAUGUUUCAAAAUCAGUAAAAUUUCAACAAAAAGUUGAAGGAAAAGAAGGAUUGAUUAAAACAUUAACUGACUGAAGUUGCAUUUUUCUUUAAAGCAGCAACUCGUGAACAAUGUCUGUUUUAAAAUGUCAAUGCCUUUUAGGCACAGUGUUCACUUUGGUUUUUACAUUCAUCCCUUGACAAUUAGAAACCUCUGUUAUCUUCCAAAGUAAUCAAAAUGCUCACAGACAUACACUGCAAGGGCAGGUAAGGGUCAAACUAAUGAUCAUUUCCGACAGAUAAUAUUUAAUUACUCACCUCUAAGCAAUGAAGUUAAUAAAUUAAUUUUAUAAACAUCUGCAGGCAAAACACUCAUUGUAGACAUUUAUAUUACGACACACAACCUUCACGUAAAUACUCACAAAAUUUAUCCGCCCACAUUUUUUUUUUUUCCUGAAGGUACACAAUUAAACUGCAUUUACUAAGUGUUAGCUGGCA